rnacentral:rRNA from 1 species
GAUGAACGCUGGCGGCGUGCCUAAUACAUGCAAGUCGAGCGGACGGACGAUACGCUUGCUUCUCUCUUGUUAGCGGCGGACGGGUGAGUAACACGUGGAUAACCUACCUAUAAGACUGGGAUCACUUCGGGACACCGGCUCUAAUCCCAGAUAAUCUUUUGAACCACAUGGUUCAAAAGUGAAAGACGGUCGUGCUGUCUCUUCUCGCUGGAUCCGCGCUGCAUUAGCUAGUUGGUGAGGUAACGGCUUACCAAGGCAACGAUGCAUGGACGAGCGGAGAGGGUGAUCGGCCACCCGGGAACGUAGACAGGCUCAUGAGUCCUACGGGAGGCAGCAGUAGCGAAUGUUCGGCAGUGGGCGAAAGCAUUACGGAGCAAGGGCGCGCGAGUGAUGAAGGCCUUCGGAGCGUAAAAACCUGCUACUAGUGAAAAACAUAUUUGGCAGUUAACGUGCCCAUCGUGACGGUACCUAAUAAGAAAGCAACGGCUAACUACGUG